rnacentral:rRNA from 1 species
UGGGGGAUAUUGCACAAUGGGCGAAAGCCUGAUGCAGCGACGCCGCGUGGGGGAUGAAGGCCUUCGGGUUGUAAACUUCUUUUGCUCUGAACAAGGCAUGCUAAUGGGUGUGUUGAGUGUAGGGGUUGAUUAGCGCCGGCUAACUACGUGCCAGCAGCCGCGGUAAUACGUAGGGCGCGAGCGUUGUCCGGAAUUAUUGGGCGUAAAGGGCUUGUAGGUGGCUGGUUGCGUCUGUCGUGAAAGCUCAUGGCUUAACUGUGGGUUUGCGGUGGGUACGGGCUGGCUUGAGUGCAGUAGGGGAGGCUGGAAUUCCUGGUGUAGCGGUGGAAUGCGCAGAUAUCAGGAGGAAUACCGGGGGCGAAGGCGGGUCUCUGGGCUGUUACUGACACUGAGGAGCGAAAGCAUGGGGAGCGAACAGG